GUGGUGAUUGAGCUCUUGUAACGAUUUCAAUGACAUUAAGAUCCAAGGGCGGUGACUCAUGACUCAUGUCUAGUGGUGAAACGAGAUGGAUGAAAAAGACGGCAAUAUCUCGGCUUCCGAUUACCAUUCAUGGUGAGUAGUUUCAGCGAUAAUGGUGACUUGAGCAACAAUGAAAAGCAAAAGUGGUAGUUUGGAUCUUUAUAUGCAGUUUUGAUGAAGAUGAUUUAGGAUUUAUUCGAUUUUGAUGAUAAUUGAAGAGGUUGAUUCAAUUGAAUUUC